GGCGGGUGGUGUCAGGUCUCCUGCCAGUGAGGAAAGAAACGCGGCUCGGGGCGCACACUGCUUGCUGUUAGGGAGCAGAAGCAGAGAGUACCCUCAGUCUCAGCCACCAUGUCUGCCGUUCUCAGUGACCUGGCUGGUCGAGUAACAGACCUUUAUCCCUGAGGAUUGUUUCUGAGCCCAUGGUCCCCGUGCCCUUCUCAGACUGUGGAAAUUGCAUGUGUCCAUUUACCAUAAAAAUUGGGCAGGGAAUUAUUAGGAGACAUUCAAAUGGAUCACCUGGGUGCCAAAUAUAUCCUUCUCUGUUCACAGUGUGUAAGAACAACCCUGCCUCCUCCUGAUGAUCAGAGCCAAUACCCCUGACAGAGUGGCUACUCUUCUUUACACCUGCUUAGUCCCACAGCCAUAGCAGGAGGAAUGAACCCAAGGUUCCCAUGACUUGUAAUUCAGUUAUCAGCCAUGGCUCGUAAUUCAGUGGGGCUCCUACUGUGUCUACUGGUGGAAGCAUUUCCAUUUGAAUAGCCAGGAUCCACUGUUCAAUAAGGUAGCCACUAGCUGCAUGUGCCUACUGAGUACUUGAAAUGUACCUGGUGUGUCUGAAGAACUGAAUUUUAAUUAUCUAAAAUUCAGAUAAAAUAACAACUAAUUUUAUCUUAAUUUAAAUUUAAAUAGAUGAAUUUGGCUAGUGGUGACUGUAUUGUGGGGACAGGAAGCACAAAUUCCCAUGUGGAUCACUAGGAGAGAUAAUAAGUGGGGUCAUUUCACCCCUUGGUCCCCUGCUUCCAGACCCAAAGAGGCCUACAUGGCAUUGUGCUUCCUUCUUAGUUGUAGGAGGUGUGAGAUACAAUCAUUUGCCUCUGACUUUGGAGGGUUGGUCCUAGCAUGCCCCUGACCAGUAGCCCCUUAAAUACUUCAUUGAUAUGGAAGGUCUCUGAAUCUUCGUGGGCUUAAUCUACCACUCUCUGAAGUGCUUAUGUCUUUCAAAGGCCUCUAAAAUCUCUGCCAUGUCUUGCUCAUCCAGUUGUUAGCAUGAUGUCAUUGAUACAGUGGACUUUGGAAUCUAAGUGGGGAGACACUGGUAAGUGACCAAUUACUUCACCUGUGGUGUGCAAGCCAGAUCAGGAAGCCUCUACCAUUGCUUUCCUGUGCUGGGAAAGCUAUUUUUAGUGUGUAGACUUCAUGCCAGAUUUGCCCAGAUCAGGGGCGGGAUGCCCAGAGCUCCUGGUUAUUGGAAGUGCUCUACCUUGAGUACAGAAAUCCACACCAACUCACUCCCUUCUCCAAGGGGACCCUCACCCUGAGGAAUUUAACUGGGCCUUGCUAACAUGCUGGGAGAAUGUCCCUGAGAAAAAGAGCAGUGAAGGCGCACAUGAAUUUCCUGUUGCAUACCCACAGUGGGCCAGAAACAAGACCAUUGGAUUUUUACCUCGUACUUUUGAUGUUUGGCAGCCAUUGAUUCUAGUUCGGGGGUGAAAGAUAGAGAUGACACAUGUAUUGGAACCUUUCUUGGGGACUGCUAGUCUUAGGGACAAACUGCCAAAAUCAAGCUAGGCAAUGGUGGCCACAGCUAUGGGAUGGAGAGUGAGGAAUAGGACAUAUAAGCUGACAGCUGGAGGCCCAGACACUGCCCAUGUUAGUGUGGUUGGGGACAAAAUAAGGAACCAGAGUGGGUGGAACAGGAGCAGUUCAGGGACUCUGCAGAAAUAACCUAUGGCUCCUCAGAGAUCUUACAAGGGAAGCUUCCCUUGAGCACCUAGAUGUCAAAGAGAUUGGCAGAGGCAGGAAGGACAUGUUCCCAAGCAAAAAGUAACAGCAGCUAACUUUGAUUUCAUGGAAGGUGCGAGUCCAGCUGUGAGUCAGAAUAGGGAGACAGGCAGUGAACAGAGGACAGAAUGAUGACCUGCAGUGCUGAGAAACAGGCCUAUCCAUGACUUUGUCCUCAGUCCCUGACCCAGGGGAACACCAAGGAUGCCAUGGGGUGCAGGGAGGGCCAGAAGAGCUAAGUACCCAAUUUCUACAUAAGGGCCCCUGCUCCAGGACAGGGCCGGGAGAAGACAUAUAGAUGAUACCUACCCCCAGUCCUCCAACAAACACAUCUGCCUCAAAACUGACAUAUUCUCAGCUGGUGGAAGCAUCCAGGAAAGAUAACACAUAGCUCCAUGUGCAGCUGUGGUGCCUGUGGGGCACUGGGGGUUAUACCACCGAACAGAGCUUGGACAGUGUCCCCAGCUCCUAUUCUUUUUGAAACUGUGUUAAAAUAUAUAUCAUAUAAAAGUCACCGUCUUAACCAUU
rnacentral:lncRNA from 1 species